AUGAAGUGAAAAGGAAUCAGCUAUACUUCAUGAAAGAAAGGAAAAUGUGCUUUUCCCCAACUGCUCCACAUCGCUUUGGUUCAGGAUGAAGCAGAGCAACCAGUCAUUUUGUCCUCUAGCAUGCAGUAUUUAAGUGUAAUAUGUGAUCCAUAUAAACAUAAAGAAGUAGAUGUUCAUGCUUCUUUUAGGGCUCCUCUCUCCAACUUCCACUGGAUUGGCUGAGCUGGCCACUGUCCAGCUUGACUCCUUCAAAUGGUUGCAGGAAGAUGACAGCUGAGGCCAGGGUCAUGAGAAAGCUUCUCUACCCACAUGUCCGGCUGCUGGGCUGGGAGAGUUAGAACAGCUGGGCCAAGCAGGAACCAUCUCUUUCUUCUGUCCACGUAGCCAAGUCGCCUGGCCUCCACAUGCCAGCAGCACACUUGCAAAUCUGCUACUGUAUGUGGUUCUGACUCUGUAAUUACCAAUUCAACAAGCAUGAAACCUUUGAAUGCUGAAUUGCCUUUCCCUUACUUAAUUUUCAUUUCUUGUAAUUUUCUCUUUUCGUUCAGUUUUGAGAAGUAUUCUUAUAACUUUCUUAAUAUACUCUUUCUUUGAAUUGACAUUUAUAAAAAAGAUUAUCACACAAGCUGUUAUUUUAUUUGACAAAGCAAAUAAUUUCUACAUUUUACAAUGUUUUAGAAACUUUGACUUUGCUGUACACAGAGACAGAAUGGACUGAUGCUUUGAGAUUUUUCCAUGACUAGAAAGAGGGCAAGAAGAUGGCUGUGGAAACUGACUUCCGCCUACCUCAAUCCUGGC
rnacentral:lncRNA from 1 species